rnacentral:rRNA from 1 species
GGGCUCAACCCGCGGACGGCACAUGAUACUGCGAGACUAGAGUAAUGGAGGGGGAACCGGAAUUCUCGGUGUAGCAGUGAAAUGCGUAGAUAUCGAGAGGAACACUCGUGGCGAAGGCGGGUUCCUGGACAUUAACUGACGCUGAGGCACGAAGGCCAGGGGAGCGAAAGGGAUUAGAUACCCCUGUAGUCCUGGCAGUAAACGGUGCACGCUUGGUGUGCGGGGAAUCGACCCCCUGCGUGCCGGAGCUAACGCGUUAAGCGUGCCGCCUGGGGAGUACGGUCGCAAGAUUAAAACUCAAAGAAAUUGACGGGGACCCGCACAAGCGGUGGAGUAUGUGGCUUAAUUCGAUGCAACGCGAAGAACCUUACCUGGGCUUGACAUGUAAUGAACAACAUGUGAAAGCAUGCGACUCUUCGGAGGCGUUACACAGGUGCUGCAUGGCCGUCGUCAGCUCGUGUCGUGAGAUGUUUGGUUAAGUCCAGCAACGAGCGCAACCCCUGUUGCCAGUUACCAGCACGUGAAGGUGGGGACUCUGGCGAGACUGCCCAGAUCAACUGGGAGGAAGGUGGGGACGACGUCAGGUCAGUAUGGCCCUUAUGCCCAGGGCUGCACACGUACUACAAUGCCCAGUACAGAGGGGGCCGAAGCCGCGAGGCGGAGGAAAUCCUAAAAACUGGGCCCAGUUCGGACUGUAGGCUGCAACCCGCCUACACGAAGCCGGAAUCGCUAGUAAUGGCGCAUCAGCUACG